GAGUGUAGCUCAGUGGUAGAGGUAUUGCCUAGCAUGCAGGUGGUUCUGGGUUUGCUCCCCAGCACCA
rnacentral:tRNA from 1 species